rnacentral:rRNA from 1 species
CCGAAAGCUAUUUAGGUAGCGCCUCGUGAAUUCAUCUCCGGGGGUAGAGCACUGUUUCGGCAAGGGGGUCAUCCCGACUUACCAACCCGAUGCAAACUGCGAAUACCGGAGAAUGUUAUCACGGGAGGCACACGGCGGGUGCUAACGUCCGUCGUGAAGAGGGAAACAACCCAGACCGCCAGCUAAGGUCCCAAAGUCAUGGUUAAGUGGGAAACGAUGUGGGAAGGCCCAGACAGCCAGGAUGUUGGCUUAGAA